ACAGUACCUUGUUCGUGUGUCAAGCCUUUUCACAGUUGUGUGUGUAAGUGGACUCACAGAGUUAGAAUCAGAAGAAAGAGACAGAAAGAAUGGUUGAUAGCACGCCUGACUCGCUCUAGUACCUCAUUCCAAGCCGUCACUGGAUUUGUUCGGAAAAGCCAAGAGGGAAGCAAACAAGACAGAAACAACCAGCCAAUUUGUAAGAAAAUCCCCGACUUCUAGAAAAGUUAAUAGUAAGCAGACCCACAAUGUAAGAAAAAAAAUCCUGCAUAGUGGAAAGAAAA